rnacentral:rRNA from 1 species
GACAAAAAAAACAGAGCAUCAUGGACCACUGCUCAACUUGACCUGCUCGUUUCUGUGAUGAAAGAGUAUGUAGCUGCUGCUGAAUUUUGUGGUCAGAAUGGAUGGACAAAAGAAGGAUGGAAUUCCAUGGUUAUACGCUUGAAUAAUCAGUUUCAGAGAGCUAACUUUAUUGUUUCUCAACUAAAAUUUAGAGAGCAACGGUUGAAGAAAUAUUAUUUUAUUGUCAAAUCUAUUGUAGAGAAGAGUGGCUUCGGUUUUCAUCCUGUUACAAAAAUGCCAACAACCAUUGAUGAAAAAUGGGAUGAAUUGAGCAAAGAACAACAGAAGUGGAGAUACAAAGCUUUCCCUUACUACGACGAUUUGCAUGCAAUUUAUGAUGGUAAAACAGCAGAGGGGAAGGGUUGUAAGAGGACAACUGACAUGGACGAAUUGAUUAUUAAAAUUACAUGCCACCAUGACAUUUUGCAAUAA